rnacentral:rRNA from 1 species
AUAACUGUAGUAAUUCUAGAGCUAAUACAUGCCACUAUGCCCUGACCCGCAAGGGGACGGGUGGAUUUAUUAGAACAGAACCAACCGGUUGUGGCUUCGGUCGCUUCCGUUGUACUCUGUGAUGACUCUGGAUAACUUCACUGAUCGCAGUCGGCCUUGUGUCGGCGACGGAUCUUUCAAAUGUCUGCCCUAUCAAUUUUCGAUGGUAGGUGACCUGCCUACCAUGGUGAUAACGGGUAACGGGGAAUCAGGGUUCGAUUCCGGAGAGGGAGCCUGAGAAACGGCUACCACUUCCAAGGAAGGCAGCAGGCACGCAAAUUACCCAAUCCCGGAACGGGGAGGUAGUGACGAAAAAUACGGAUACGGGACUCGUAUGAGGCUCCGUAAUUCGAAUGAGUACAAUUUAAAUCCUUUAACGAGGAUCAACUGGAGGGCAAGUCUGGUGCCAGCAGCCGCGGUAACUCCAGCUCCAGAAGCGUAUAUUAAAGUUGUUGCAGUUAAAAAGCUCGUAGUUGGAUCUGGGUCGUAUGGCUACGUGCCGUCGCCCGUAAUCGAAGCUUGGUUCCGACUAGGUCAAGUUUGCGGGUCGGUUUCGUGGCUGUGCAGCCUUUCUGCCGUGUCUGUUUCGACAGGUGCCGGCCUAAUCGAUGGGCUUGUCUCGUUGGUUGGUUGGCAUGCUUCCAGAUGCCUUUGAACGGGUGUCGGGGGCGGACGGUACGUUUACUUUGAACAAAUUUGAGUGCUCAAAGCAGGCCUGUGCCUGAAAAUUCUUGCAUGGAAUAAUGGAAUAGGACUUCGGUUCUAUUUUGUUGGUUUUCGGAUCCGAAGUAAUGGUUAAGAGGGACAGACGGGGGCAUUUGUAUGGCGGUGUUAGAGGUGAAAUUCUUGGAUCGCCGCCAGACAAACUACAGCGAAAGCAUUUGCCAAGGAUGUUUUCAUUGAUCUGGAGCGAAAGUCAGAGGUUCGAAGACGAUCAGAUACCGUCCUAGUUCUGACCAUAAACGAUGCCAACUGACGAUCCGUGGGUGAUCUUUUAAUGACCCUGCGGGCAGUCCCCGGGAAACCUUUAAGUCUUUGGGCUCCGGGGGAAGUAUGGUUGCAAAGCUGAAACUUAAAGGAAUUGACGGAAGGGCACCACCAGGAGUGGAGCCUGCGGCUUAAUUCGACUCAACACGGGAAAACUCACCCGGCCCGGACACUGUGAGGAUUGACAGAUUGAUAGCUCUUUCUUGAUUCGGUGGUUGGUGGUGCAUGGCCGUUCUUAGUUGGUGGAGCGAUUUGUCUGGUUAAUUCCGAUAACGAACGAGACUUUGGCCUGCUAAAUAGUAUACCUGUCCUCUGUGCUCGUGCAGGUGGCGGUUCUCUCUGCCCUUUCGGGGGUGGGUGAGGCUGUUUACCGGCGGGUACUGCGCAGGCAUUUACUUCUUAGAGGGACAAGCGACGCGAAAGUCGCACGAAAAUGAGCAAUAACAGGUCUGUGAUGCCCUUAGAUGUCCGGGGCCGCACGUGCGCUACAAUGACGGUUUCAGCGAGUUUUGAAUCCUGGCCCGAAAGGGUUGGGCAAACUGAAUCAUCACCGUCGUGACUGGGAUCGGGGCUUGCAAUUAUUCCCCGUGAACGAGGAAUUCCUGGUAAGUGCAAGUCAUAAGCUUGCGCUGAUUACGUCCCUGCCCUUUGUACACACCGCCCGUCGCUACUACCGAUUGAAUGGUUUAGCAAGGUCAUCGGAUCGGUGCCAUUGUAGUUGUUUCGGCAACUCGACCGG